UGUGCCACACACCUGGCUACCUCUCGUACAAUUGCUCAGUAAAUGCUGAAUUUAAAAUCAGAAGAAGUGGAACAGGAUAAGAAAAGCCAGUGCCCCUUCACAUCUGAGAGCUGGUUGCUGUAUCUAAUAUAAAUUUGUUUCUGAGACAACCAUCUAGUUAAAAAAGAAAGAUUUUUAUGGAUGACAUAUCAUUCAUCUUUUUUUGUGUCAAUAUUCUAAAUUCAGCAAUCAGAAAGUUUUUCAUCAGGAAAAGAUGACUGAUAGAAACCUAGUACUCAGCAUAUUUUUCCCCAUUUUUCAGAAGUGACAUUUCACAUAGGUGCCAAAAGUGAAUUGGGGCGGGGAGAAUGGGAACCUUUGGAAUUUAUGGUUAUUACAGAAAUUGUAGAAAUUAUGAUCUGACUGGAAAACAACCUUGUUAUCACCUCCCAAAGAAUCAUGGGCUUUUUUCAAUUAAAAAAAAAGCAGAAAUUCAGAGUUUUUCAGAAUUGAAGCCUUUUUAUUUUAUCCUUUUGUCAUACAUGUGAAAUAUAAGUAUUAAACAAAUUGACCAC
rnacentral:lncRNA from 1 species